rnacentral:rRNA from 1 species
GUGAGGAAUAUUGGUCAAUGGGCGGGAGCCUGAACCAGCCAAGUCGCGUGAAGGAAGAAGGAUCUAUGGUUCGUAAACUUCUUUUGCAGGGGAAUAAAGUGCAGGACGUGUCCUGUUUUGUAUGUACCCUGAGAAUAAGGAUCGGCUAACUCCGUGCCAGCAGCCGCGGUAAUACGGAGGAUCCGAGCGUUAUCCGGAUUUAUUGGGUUUAAAGGGUGCGUAGGUGGUUUGAUAAGUCAGCGGUGAAAGUUUGCAGCUUAACUGUAAAAAUGCCGUUGAAACUGUCGGACUUGAGUGUAAAUGAGGUAGGCGGAAUGCGUGGUGUAGCGGUGAAAUGCAUAGAUAUCACGCAGAACUCCGAGUGCGAAGGCAGCUUACUAAGCUACAACUGACACUGAAGCACGAAAGCGUGGGGAUCAAACAGGAUUAGAUACCCGUGUAGUCC